GCUAAAAACUUAGCUUUAAUUUAUUAUAAUGCCCACCCGUACCUCAAACAACAAAAUAAAACAUUUUACACAUUAAGUAAAGGCGAUUAAAAAAUGUCUUAAAGCUAUAAAACAAGUACCGCAAGGGAAUAGUGAAAUAAUAAUGAAAACUAAAGCAUAUAAAAGCAGAGCCUUAACCUCGUACCUUUUGCAUCAUGGUCUAACUAGUCCCCUCGAGCAAAAGGAGUUUUAAGUUUGAUCCCCCGAAACUAGGUGAGCUACUUAAAAACAGCCUUCUGGGCCAACCCGUCUCUGUUGCAAAAGAGUGGGAAGAUUUUUAAGUAGAGGUGAUAAACCUACCGAACCUAGAGAUAGCUGGUUAUUCAGGAAAAGGAUUUAAGUCCUACCUUAGGUUUUUGUACAAUACAAGUACUCCGUCAACCUUUAGAGCUAUUCAAAUAAGGUACAGCCUAUUUGAAACAGGAUACAACCUCACCAAUUGGGUAAUAUAUUUUAACAUCAACUAAGUGGGCCUAAAAGCAGCCACCUUUAAAAAAGCGUUAAAGCUUCAUUGCAUUUUAUAAAAAUUCCGCUAAUUUUCUAAAACCCUUAACCUGUACUGAAUGGUCUUAUGACUUCAUAAGAGCCUAUAUGUUAGAACUAGUAACAAGAAGAAGCCCUUCUCCAAAAUGUAAGCAUGAGCCAAAAUGAACUAUUCAUUGGCAUUUAAAGUUAAUAAUCUUCUAGUAGUAACUACUCAAGAAAAACCUACUAUAUUUAACGUCAACCUUACACCAGCACAUUUCUGGAAAGAUUAAAAGACUAGGAAGGAACUCGGCAAACAAAUAACCCCGCCUGUUUACCAAAAACAUCGCCUCCUGAUUUUUAUAGGAGGUCUAGCCUGCCCAGUGACAAAGUUAAACGGCCGCGGUACCCUAACCGUGCAAAGGUAGCGCAAUCACUUGUUCUUUAAAUGAGGACUAGUAUGAACGGCAUCACGAGGGUUAUGCUGUCUCCCUACUUUAUUCAGUGAAACUGAUCUCCCCGUGAAGAGGCGGGGAUAAAAAUAUAAGACGAGAAGACCCCAUGGAGCUUUAAACUCAGUAUCAACUGCCAUAUUUAAAACCUAAUAUUUAAGCAAUUUCUGACUACUAGUUUUCGGUUGGGGUGACCACGGAGUAAAACCUAACCUCCACGAUGAAAGGAAAUAAUAACCUAAAUUAAGAGCUACGGCUCUAAAUAUCAAUAAAUUGACUCAUUGAUCCAAUUACUUGAUCAACGAACCAAGUUACCCUGGGGAUAACAGCGCAAUCCAUUUCAAGAGCUCCUAUCGACAAAUGGGUUUACGACCUCGAUGUUGGAUCAGGGUAUCCCAGUGGCGCAGCCGCUACUAACGGUUCGUUUGUUCAACGAUUAAAACCCUACGUGAUCUGAGUUCAGACCGGAGUAAUCCAGGUCGGUUUCUAUCUAUAAAGAGUUACUCCUAGUACGAAAGGACCGAAGUAACGUGGCCAAUGACAAAUUAAGCCACAGCUGUAAAUUAGUGAAAACAACUUAAUUAACACCAGCCUACCACUUUCCCUAAGAAAAAGAUU
rnacentral:rRNA from 1 species